CCCACCUCACAUGGCUGCUAAAUUCAGGCAGCAAGAUCGUUAAACAAAAGAAGAAAAUAUCAUGUGAUAAGGGUGGAAUUGGUAGAAAAUCAACUUGAUUAGAUAGACAAAACAAAAGAAGUAAAACUGGUGUAUGUUUAUUGACAGCUCCUCCUCGUGAAAUCAGAAGAAAACGAAGAAAAGAGAGACGUAUAUUCUUUGACAUAAGCUUUCUUCAAUAACAACCACUCAUGGAGAACAUGCCAAGCACCCCAGUACACACCUAGUCGUUUAUCCCACCUGGAGUUGUUCCGUAAGCAGGUACCAAAAGGAAAGUCAUUCAUGUCUCGUUUAAGGAUUAAGAGCAGAGAGUUGGCAGCUAGUUCCAAGACCGGGGGCGGAAAAGAAGGGCUACAACUUGGCAGCAAGUUAAGAAAGACGCUUAGCAGGUGCAAAGAAGGCUCCGUUUCUUCCUACUUCAAUUUUCAGAAGAUACGGCACUCUUUCUCGCGUACUUCUACCUCUCUAUUUCUCUCCAUGUCCCCUCUUAUCCAUCUUCUUAUCUUUUCUCCUGGGUCUAGUGUAAUCAUAUCAGGUAUCCUUAGAGAAACGUAUGCGAGAGUAAUUAGGGCAGACGGUUGGUAUAUGCGUCGUGUGUAACAGAAACGAAGGAGAUGGAAAGAUACGGCUGCUUCCAUAAUCGCAUGAAAUUGAUUAAAGAACAAUUUACAGUUUUGGUCCCCAAUAACUUCUCCAAUUUCAUUAAAAUCUCGACCUCUUAUAUUCAUUUCAAUUAAAGUUUCUAUGAUUAACUAUUUAGCCCCUAGACUUAUAUAUUCACUUAACUUAUUACCUUAAUUAAAAUUUAAAGUUAAUUAAACACAUUUUAUACAUUUUGAUUAUUAGUUAAAUCCUAUAAGUAAUUUAAAUCUCAAUUAGUUACAACAUUCUUGUCAUUACGAUUACUUAUAGAUUUAAUUCAUCAAUUGAAUACAAAUUUACAUCUAUGUUCCUUGAACUUUGAUACCUAUUCCAAUAGUAACCCUAACCAUAUCAACUAAGAGUUUUCUUUUUUAUACAAUCGUUUAAUUAGAUUGAAUAUAAAAUAAAAUAACCCAUUUUCAAUCAUUUUGAAUUAUUAAUAAAUCUUAGAUAAUCAUUCAAAAUAUUAAUUAAAUCUUUUAAAUCAUAAAUAGUAUCUUUAUGUUCAUGUUAUUAUAUAUUAAGCAUACAUUUCAACACGAAAUAAACGUGCAACUUAAUCGUAUAUAUAACGGAAGACUAACAUCGUUAACAAGGAGAUUCUUGAGUCGUUACAGUGUACGAAAGACACCUACUUGAUGUGGAGCGCCAGUUGGCUGGACUAAGGGUUCACCAGAGGGAUACCCGUCACUUGUAAGAGAAUACCAUACCUUUCUUUCUUUGGUUUAAGGAAUAAUCUUCGUAUCUAUGCUCCAAGUAGAACUUUUCGAUGUAACUAUCGUGUACUAUAAGUACUUUUAGUUAGGGGUUUGUGUUGUCAAAACUUUUCUACUUCGGAUAUGUUAUAUGACCUUCUCCAAUGUCAAAUUUCCUGAACUUAUAACACCUUAAAUAUCAAUGAUAGGGACAGUCAACUAA